rnacentral:rRNA from 1 species
AUACGGGGGGGGCAAGCGUUGUUCGGAAUUACUGGGCGUAAAGGGUCUGUAGGUGGCCAACUAAGUCAGACGUGAAAUCCCUCAGCUUAACUGGGGAACUGCGUCUGAGACUGGAUGGCUCGAGUGCAGGAGAGGAAUGCGGAAUUCCAGGUGUAGCGGUGAAAUGCGUAGAUAUCUGGAGGAACACCGGUGGCGAAGGCGGCAUUCUGGACUGCAACUGACACUGAGAGACGAAAGCCAGGGGAGCAAACG